rnacentral:rRNA from 1 species
UACGAAGGGGGCUAGCGUUGCUCGGAAUCACUGGGCGUAAAGCGCACGUAGGCGGCUUUUUAAGUCAGGGGUGAAAUCCUGGAGCUCAACUCCAGAACUGCCUUUGAUACUGAGAAGCUUGAGUCCGGGAGAGGUGAGUGGAACUGCGAGUGUAGAGGUGAAAUUCGUAGAUAUUCGCAAGAACACCAGUGGCGAAGGCGGCUCACUGGCCUGGUACUGACGCUGAGGUGCGAAAGCGUGGGGAGCAAACAGG